rnacentral:lncRNA from 1 species
AUUUAAUAGGGAAUCCUUUCCGCAUUUCUUGUUUUUGUCAGGUUUGUCAAAGAUCAGAUGGUUGUACAUGUGUGGUAUUAUUUCUGAGGGCUCUGUUCUGUUCCAUUGGUCUAUAUCUCUGAUGGGAUGUAUCUCAAAAUAAUAAGAGCUAUUUAUGAGAAACCCACAGCCAAUAUCAUACUGAAUGGGCAAAAACUAGAAGCAUUCCCUUUGAAAACUGGCAUAAGACAGGAAUGCCCUCUCUCACCACUCCUAUUCAAUGUAGUGUUGGAAGUUCUGGCCAGGGCAAUCAGGCAGGAGAAAGAAAUAAAGGGUAUUCAAUUAGGAAAAGAGGAAGUCAAAUAGUCCCUGUUUGCAGAUGACAUGAUUGUCAGCCUGAGAACACCAGUGGGAUUGGCUGGAGACCUCAGCUAAAAGGACCCUCACUGGGCGGGACCUUGAGAACUAUGUGCCAGGGAGAAUUCAGAUCUCUGUUAGCCCAAGAACACCGGUGUGGGUGGCUGGAGGCCACGGUUGAGAGGUCCCUCACUGGGCAGGACCUCAAGACCUCCAUACCAGGGAGAAUUCAAAUCUCUGUCAGCCCCAAAACACUGGCAGGGGUGGCUGGAGGCCGAAGUCCUUCACUGGGCCAGACCCUGAGACCUCCAUACCAGGGAGAAUUCAAAUCUCUGUCAGCCCAAGAACACCGGUGGGGGUGGCUGGAGGCCCAACUGGGAGGUCACUCACUUGGCAGAACCUAAAGACCUCCAUGCCAGGGAGAAUUCAAAUCUCUGUCAGCCCCAGAACACUGACGGGGUUGGCUGCAGGCCCCAGUUGGGAAGUCCCUCACUGUGCAGGACCCCAAGACCGCCAUGCCAGCGAGAACUCGAACCUCUGUCAGCCCCAGAACACCAGUGGGGUUGGCUGGAGACUGCAGCUAAAAGGAUCCUCAUUGGGCAGGACCUCAAGAACUAUAUGCCAGGGAGAAUUCGAAUCUCUGUCAGUCUGAGAACACCAGGGGCGGGUGGCUGGAGGCCUGAAUUGAAAAGACCCACACCAGACAGGAAGUGGAGACCUCCAUGUCAGGAAGAGUUCAAAUCUCUGUCAGCAUGAGAACACAGGUGGGGGUGGCUGGAGGCCCCAGUUAGGAGAACCCUUACUGGGCGGGACUUCAAGAACCAAGAACUCCAUACCUGGGAGAAUUCAAAUCUCUGUCAGCCCCAGAACACUGGCGGGGGUGGCUGGAGGCCCCAGUUGGGAGAUCCCUCACUGGGCAGGACCUAAAGACCUCCAUGUCAGGGAGAACUCAAAUCUCUGUCAGCCUGAGAACACCAGUGGGAUUGGCUGGAGACCCCAGCUAAAAGGACCCUCAUUGGGCGGGACCUUGAGAACUACGUGCCAGGGAGAAUUCAGAUCUCUGUCAGCCCAAGAACACAAGUGGGGGUGGCUGGAGGCCACGGUUGAGAGGUCCCUCACUGGGCCAGACCCCGAGACCUCCAUUCCAGGGAGAAUUCAAAUCUCUGUCAGCCCCAGAACACUGGCA